rfam:Salmo salar isolate Sally breed double haploid chromosome ssa15, whole genome shotgun sequence.
GGCUCGUUGGUCUAGGGGUAUGAUUCUCGCUUCGGGUGUGAGAGGUCCUGGGUUCAAAUCCCGGACGAGCCC